GUAAUAUUCCAGACUAUGUCCAGGUGAUACAGGGUCUUGUGACUGGAGCUUGGAAAACAAGUCCCUCUGAUCUCCUACCUCCCCAGGGAAAAUGGAGGAUAAAUGAAGCCAGUUAGUGCCUGAUGUGUCACUGGCUUGCAGAUGAACAAAGCACCGUUGUAACCAUGUCAUCAGAAAUAUACCACAUGCCAGGACACACAUUGGAGAUGGCAGUGGAGAGUUAUGAACAAGCCAUGUAAAGUGGGGUCAUUUCUCCUGUGACAGAGAGUUUAUCUUUUAUAAUAUUUGUUUGUAGUAGGAGAAGAGUAAACACAAGAAAAG
rnacentral:lncRNA from 1 species